CCUAACCCUAACCCUAACCCUGAGCACGCCCGAUCUCGUCUGGUCUCGGAAGCUAAGCAGGGGCGGGCCUGGGUGGUACGUGGAUGGGAGAAUUCUGUCUUGGCUCUCUAGGUGGCUGGUGGGA
rnacentral:rRNA from 1 species